rnacentral:sRNA from 1 species
UUAUUCUGUCCCAUAUCAAAACACUACUGUUCCCUGCAGUCGAGUAAAAAUCAUUUGGUGGGAUAGGGGGUAACCACAUGCUGAACCCCUCGUCCGAAUGUCAAACCCAACUAACUAACUAGUUAUGCGGUUCUGAAGGGAUUAUGUUUUAUGUUACAGCUCAGCAUAUGUACAGUAUAUACACCGGGUGCAGAAAAAGUAAAUAAGCUUGUGAGUGAGAUGGUUACACGUUCUGCACUGCUCGCACUGUGUGAACAGCUAACACAGCCCGAAAAGAAACCUCCCCCCCCCCGUAAUCCUAGGUCGGUGAUGGAUAAUGUUAUCUAUCAUAUUGGUGUCGUAGAGCAAGAGUUACCAAAUUACCAGAUUAUCAAACACAAAACUCCAUUGCCGCGAAGGACACGAGUAUAUACAUAUAUAUAUAUAUAUGUUCCCCCUAGAACCCAAGGCACAUAACUGACGGCAACAUUCCACCAAAAUACUGUUGGGCCCGAACACACGCGAGCAUAUAGAUUCGCGGCAUGACAAAAGGAAAAGGAAAAAAGGAAGGACGACGAAAGAAACAUUUGGCAAUUGCAUGUAAAAUCCAAAACCAGGCGCCGAAUUUACUCCCACGUAUUCCCAUUCCACCAUUCCACCACAUCCUGAUCCUGAGGGGAC